rnacentral:rRNA from 1 species
CAGUAGCCACGGUAAUACGAAGGGUGCAAGCGUUAAUCGGAAUUACUGGGCGUAAAGCGUGCGUAGGCGGUUUGCUAAGUCUGUUGUGAAAUCCCCGGGCUCAACCUGGGAAUGGCAAUGGAUACUGGCAAGCUAGAGUGUGUCAGAGGAUGGUGGAAUUCCCGGUGUAGCGGUGAAAUGCGUAGAGAUCGGGAGGAACAUCAGUGGCGAAGGCGGCCAUCUGGGACAACACUGACGCUGAGGCACGAAAGCGUGGGGAGCAAACAGGAUUAGAUACCCCUGUAGUCCCUGUCUCUUAUAC